CGGCGAGUGAAGCGGCAACAGCUCAAAUUUGAAAUCUGGCGUCUUUGGCGUCCGAGUUGUAAUUUGCAGAGGGCGCUUUGGCGUUGGCAGCAGUCUAAGUUCCUUGGAACAGGACGUCACAGAGGGUGAGAAUCCCGUACGUGGUUGCUGGCCUUCGCCGUGUAAAGCCCCUUCGACGAGUCGAGUUGUUUGGGAAUGCAGCUCUAAAUGGGAGGUAAAUUUCUUCUAAAGCUAAAUACUGGCCAGAGACCGAUAGCGCACAAGUAGAGUGAUCGAAAGAUGAAAAGCACUUUGGAAAGAGAGUCAAACAGCACGUGAAAUUGUUAAAAGGGAAGCGCUUGCAGCCAGACUUGCCUGUAGUUGCUCAUCCGGACUUUUGUCCGGUGCACUCUUCUAUAGGCAGGCCAGCAUCAGUUUGGGCGGUUGGAUAAAGGUCUCUGUCAUGUACCUCUCUUCGGGGAGAACUUAUAGGGGAGACGACAUGCAACCAGCCUGGACUGAGGUCCGCGCAUUUGCUAGGAUGCUGGCGUAAUGGCUGUAAGCGGCCCGUCUUGAAACACGGACCAAGGAGUCUAACAUCUAUGCGAGUGUUUGGGUGUCAAGCCCGAACGCGUAAUGAAAGUGAACGGAGGUGGGAACCCCUCGGGGUGCACCAUCGACCGAUCCUGAUGUCUUCGGAUGGAUUUGAGUAAGAGCAUAGCUGUUGGGACCCGAAAGAUGGUGAACUAUGCUUGAAUAGGGUGAAGCCAGAGGAAACUCUGGUGGAGGCUCGCA
rnacentral:rRNA from 1 species